rnacentral:rRNA from 1 species
AGCAUAUCAAUAAGCGGAGGAAAAGAAACCAACAGGGAUUGCCUUAGUAACGGCGAGUGAAGCGGCAAUAGCUCAAAUUUGAAAUCUGGCGUCUUUGGACGUCCGAGUUGUAAUUUGUAGAGGAUGUUUCGGUAUUAGCUCCGGUCUAAGUCCCUUGGAACAGGGUGUCGCAGAGGGUGAGAAUCCCGUACGCGAUCGGCUGCUUUUGCCAUGUGAAACUCCUUCGACGAGUCGAGUUGUUUGGGAAUGCAGCUCUAAUUGGGAGGUAAAUUUCUUCUAAAGCUAAAUACUGGCCAGAGACCGAUAGCGCACAAGUAGAGUGAUCGAAAGAUGAAAAGCACUUUGGAAAGAGAGUUAAAAAGUACGUGAAAUUGUUGAAAGGGAAGCGCUUGCAAUCAGACCUGCUUGCAGUUGUUCAUCUAAGCUUUUGCCUAGUGCAUUCUUCUGCAAGUCAGGCCAGUAUCAGUUCGGGCGGUUGGAUAAAGAAUUCAGGAAUGUAGCUCCUUUCGGGGAGUGUUAUAGCCUGUUUUGUAAUGCAACCAGCCCGGAUUGAGGACCGCGCUUCGGCUAGGAUACUGGCGUAAUGGUUGUAAGCGGCCCGUCUUGAAACACGGACCAAGGAGUCUAACAUCUGUGCGAGUGUUUGGGUGUUAAACCCAUGCGCGUAAUGAAAGUGAACGGAGGCGGGAACCUUUUAGGUGCACCGUCGACCGAUCCUGAUGUCUUCGGAUGGAUUUGAGUAAGAGCAUAGCUGUUGGGACCCGAAAGAUGGUGAACUAUGCUUGAAUAGGGUGAAGCCAGAGGAAACUCUGGUGGAGGCUCGCAGCGGUUCUGACGUGCAAAUCGAUCGUCAAAUUUGGGCAUAGGGGCGAAAGACUAAUCGAACUAUCUAGUAGCUGGUUCUGC